UACAGAGGGGCAAGCGUUGUUCGGAAUUACUGGGCGUAAAGGGCGCGUAGGCGGCCGCUAAGUCGAACGUGAAUCCCCGAGCUCAACUCGGGAACUGCGUCCGAUACUGGCGGGCUUGAAUCCGGGAGAGGGAUGCGGAAUUCCAGGUGUAGCGGUGAAAUGCGUAGAUAUACUGGAGGAACACCAGUGGCGAAGGCGACACCCUGGACUCAUACUGACACUGAGGUGCGAAAGCGUGGGGAGCAAACAGG
rnacentral:rRNA from 1 species